GACGAACGCUGGCGGCGUGCCUAAUACAUGCAAGUUGAGCGAUGAAGAUUGGUGCUUGCACCAAUUUGAAGAGCAGCGAACGGGUGAGUAACGCGUGGGGAAUCUGCCUUUGAGCGGGGGACAACUUUUGGAAACGAAUGCUAAUACCGCAUAACAACUUUAAACAUAAGUUUUAAGUUUGAAAGAUGCAAUUGCAUCACUCAAAGAUGAUCCCGCGUUGUAUUAGCUAGUUGGUGAGGUAAAGGCUCACCAAGGCGAUGAUACAUAGCCGCCCUGAGAGGGUGGACGGCCACAUUGGGAAUGAGACACGGACCAAACUCCUAAGGGAGGCAGCAGUAGGGAAUCUUCGGCAAUGGACGAAAGUCUGGACGAGCAAAGCCGCGUGAGUGAAUAAGGUUUUCGGAUCGUAAAAAUCUGUUGGUAGAGAAGAACGUUGGUGAGAGUGGAAAGCUCAUCAAGUGACGGUAACUACCCAGAAAGGGACGGCUAACUACGUG
rnacentral:rRNA from 1 species